rnacentral:rRNA from 1 species
UACGUAUGGGGCAAGCGUUAUCCGGAUUUACUGGGUGUAAAGGGAGCGUAGGCGGUAUGGCAAGUCAGAAGUGAAAGCUCGAGGCUCAACCUCGGAAUUGCUUUUGAAACUGUCAAACUAGAGUGUCGGAGGGGUAAGCGGAAUUCCUAGUGUAGCGGUGAAAUGCGUAGAUAUUAGGAGGAACACCGGCGGCGAAGGCGGCUUACUGGACGAUUACUGACGCUGAGGCUCGAAAGCGUGGGGAG